rnacentral:rRNA from 1 species
AGAAUCAACGCUGGCGGCGUGCCUAACACAUGCAAGUCGAACGAGAAAGUGGAGCAAUCCAUGAGUAAAGUGGCGCACGGGUGAGUAACACGUGACUAACCUACCCUUGAGUGGGGGAUAACCUAGGGAAACCUGGGCUAAUACCGCAUAAUACCUUCGGGUCAAAGGAGCAAUUCGCUUAAGGAGGGGGUCGCGGCCGAUUAGUUAGUUGGCGGGGUAAUGGCCCACCAAGACGAUGAUCGGUAU